UUGUACUUCACAAACAGCUCAAAUAGGACACCAGAAUGUGCAACUAAUUAUGCGCCUCUCAUGGAAUACCAACGAAACAAAAUUUCUACAAUGUCACAGAGAUCAAACUCUCAUAGGACAGUGCUCGGCACUCACUUGGGUUCAUUGUGGACUAGAGCCAACAUACGUGGGCGUGUACACCAUAUCCUCAAAUACUGAUUUGACUACUACAACCAUAACCUUAAUAACUUAUAUGGAGGACCUUUCUGGCAAUUACAGCUGCUCGAAGACAAAUAACGCAGAAAAACAAACUGUAUGCUUAACAACAGAAAGAACAUCAAAACCGUUGACAGGUGCGAGGAACAAUGUUGGUAUUGUCGCUGGUGUCAUAGUUGCAGUUAGCGUCCCAGUGUUAAUUACAAUAAUAAUGUGUAUAAAAUACCCUGCAAAAUGCCCAAAAAGGCGAUCCGUCCCUAGCGUCUAAUUAUCGCCCGAUAUCACUGUUAAAUACUACUGUCAAAGAUGGUCUUUGGGAGGAUAUUACAUUCACACAUUUUUUAAUUUUCUUUGUGUGAAUGCAUUCUUUUCACCCACUCAAUCUGGUUUCUUGCCUGGUGACUCCACUGUCAAUCAGCUUACAUAUAUCUAUGAUACAUUUUGCAGAGCCCUAGACAAUGGCCUUGCGGUCAGAGUUGUAUUAUUCGAUAUAAGUAAAGCUUUUGAUAACGUAUGAAAAAAUGUGUAUUAUGCACAAACAUAAACUUUAUCAAUGAACAAAAUGAACUCGAUAAAUGUCCCAAACUACUUACAGUCUCUUUUGCCUACAACAGUUGGGUCAAAUAACAAUUUCUCAUUAAGAAAUUCUUCACAUCUUCAAACAAUUCAAGCGCGAACGUCACUUUAUUCACUUCGUUUCUUCCGUCCACUGUAUCUGAAUGGGUGAUGGUCGUCAAAAACGCUGAAUCGAUCCAUUCCUUCAAAAGGCUCAUUAACACAUAUCGACCGAUUUCAAAUCACCUAUUUUCAAACGGCGAAAAUGCUCUCAAAUGUUACACACGCGCCUAAGAUUUAAGUGUACUGCUUUAAUUUAACAUAUUUUCAGACGCAAUAUUAUUACAUCCCCGUUAUGUCAAUGCGGACGUCUUGAAACGACGUCACAUUACUUUCGCGAAAGCACUCAGUAUGCACAUAUUCGCGGCGAACUUUUUAACUCAAUAUCAGUAUAUUCUGUUUCCUGCAUUGGAACUAUUCUAUAUGGAAACAACACUCUCUCCCAAGAACUCUGCCAGUCUCUUCCCUUCACCUUUCAAAUGUUAACCUAUAACAUAUUUGUUUUCUUUUUAACAAAUGUAAUUAUAUACUCGGAAUUUCUCUUGUUUUGUGCAUGCUAAUAUUAUUGUGUAGUCAUAAAAAACAAACUAUGUUCGUCUAACAACAUGUAAUUGUAUUUGUAUAGGGAGAAGAACUAUAUAAGACAUGGUCCUUCGUUCCCAUUCCUUUCAAACAUGUUAACUGUAUACAUGUUGUAUGUAAUUCAAUGUAAAACAAUGUGUAUUGUCUGAAACAAAUUUGUUUAAACUUACCAAAAUUCAUAUCUUAUAACAAAUUAGAAGGUGUAUAUCACUUUUUCCUUUAAAGCCUACUAUACAGCGACUUAUGUAAAAAUACUACUAUUGUUAUAUUAUAUACUAUUAUUAGUGCUAACGGACACUACUUUACAUUAACAUUAACUUUUAAGAUACUCACAAAACGUUAGAGCCUAUGUUAUACUGAAAUUCAAUAUCUAUUAUCAGCCAUUCUUAGCUCAGUUGAAAGCACGUGCCACAUUUUAAUCUACCGACUUACAAAAUUAAAUGAUGCAUAAAGACAAAACAGUUUCACCUGAAAAUAUUUAUAAUAAAUAACACGAAAAUUUAAACUUAUUGUAAAUAUAAGUAUUUGGAAAUUAUACAGUUGAUAAGAAACAAUUUCGUACUUCUAUUUAUCAUGACUAUAUGUUACAUACUAUGUAAAUUAAUAUAUAUUUCAUUUAAUCUUCUAUAUGUACAUAUAUAUUUAACUAAUAUUAAAAUAACUAUUUUUAUGGACAUCACCUAACCGUUUAUAAUUAUAUUGGAUAUUUGUAAUAUAUUUUGAAAAUACUUUGUUUAUAUCACAGUCUGAUUAUUAUAAUGUUAUAACAUGUAUACACAGUUCUCUUUAUUAUGAAUAUAUGGUGUAUACUUUAUUUUCCUCCCGUGUUAUGAUCUUAUUUUUCGUUUCCAAAUUAUAUAAACUAACCAUUUAUGAUCCUUACUAUACUCAUAGCAUACCAACAUGCCAUUGUUGGUACUGCAUAAAGCGAACGUUUUGAUUUUGUGUUAGGUUGUCAUGCAAAUAGGAACGAACCACGCUUAGAAAGAAUAUCUGAUUCACUAUCGAUAACAUGAGGUAAAAACGCCACACAAACAUUAUGGUUAAACGAUUAAGUAAGUAAAUAACGUUAUGAGGUUUAGUCUAUACACUACUUACUUAUUAGUAAAAUGUGUACUUAAACACCAACAUAGACUUGUAUAUAUUGUUCUGCGAACUUUGUUUCGAAACUUUGUCAUAAACAUAAACCUACGCAUUGUGUGAAAUUAUUGUAUUAUAUAAAUAUAUACUAUGUAAAUAUUUUUUAAAUAUUUUAAAUAUGUGCUGUUGUUGUUAAUUCAAAGCUAUGAAGAUCGACCAUAUUGUAAACAGACAUAAUACAUUUAUGACAUAUUAUAUAUUCACUUGACCUUGUAAAUUCCGAAUAAUGUUGUACCGUACAGAUUUAUACCGUCAAUAUAUGUGAUAUAUCAAAUGCCUCAGUAACCAUCGUCGGUUAUAUUAUUUAUAUGGUGUGUGUACAUAAGAAUCACCAAUAUAUUGCCUUUUUCGUGAAUGAAUAAAUAAAUUAUAUCAACUAACAACGUAUGAGCGUAACUAUACUCAUAGCAUAACAUAGCAUAACAACAUGCCAUGGUUGGUACUGAAUUAACCGAACGUUUUGAUUUUGUGUGAGGUUGUCAUUCGAAAAGGUACGAACCACGCUUAGAAAGAUCAUACUUACUAUUAUUAAAUCAAAUUAAUUGCAACUAAAUCUCUAUUUCGGUAACUUAUAUCUUAAAAUUCACAAAUAUCUGCAUUCACUAUCGAUCACAUGAGGUAAAAACGCCGCACAAACAUAAUGGUUUAACGAUUAAGCAAGUUAAGGUUCAUGGGGGGGAUAAAAUUCAUUAAAAAUUCGCUUUGGUUUUUCUUCAUUCAAUGUGGUACAAUAUGGUCAAACGAUAUAUCAUUUUAAAGCUAAAGACGGAUAGAAUAACAUAAACACAUUUUUGACAUUCAAUAUUUGUGUUCUUUAUUCAUAUUUUGGUUUAAAACCAAUACAUUUUUACACUAAUUUACAAAAUCUCAAUCUAAAGUUAGGAAGGAUAUGCACUACCUUAAGUUGAAUAAAUACAAAGCUAUAUACAUAUACAAGGUCAAGUUAGCAACAUUUCAAUGAAAAUUAUUGUCAUAAAACAACAAAUGAGUUUUAAUUCAACUGCCCAUUUUGGAUAAAUUUCCUAAACAAAGUUCUAAAAAUAACUUAAACGUAACUACUUUUUAAAAAUCCAGGUAUGGUGGAUAAUAAGAGUCACAAUUCUUUUUAAAAGGCUUAACAAUUGUGUUAUUUACCUCUCAACCAAAUUGCAAAUUUAAACCAUCUCAAAUUGAAAUAGAUUGCAGACGACAUAUAACAUUGUAAAGGCAUAUAAAGAAAUUGGCAAACCGAUUGAUUUUAUAUUUCGAUUCCUUCUACCCAUUUUGAAAGCGUUGGUUCGCAACUAGUAAAACAACUAUUAACAUUAAUCAGCAAGAGAUCGCACUCAAUAACAGAAAUGACCACGUAAAGAUAUCAUCACUUACCCUAUUUCAAAUAUUUUCCAGCUGAAUAUUGUCCCCCACAUGUCGUUUUUAGUUUAUUUGUAUUGUUUUUAUGGAGCCGAAGUCCAUCUAACUUCCGUUGUUUUCACUUUCGUUAUUAAAAACUUUUUUUAAAAGAAUUAUUUAUCCUUUUAGAUUGUUAAAGCGAUGUGUUAUUAUAUAUUAUCAAUAGAAUAGUAUACCGUGAUGAAUUUAACGGAGUUACGUAUCGAUCUUUCUGUCAGUCUGUAAGCGUAUUAUUUUAUGCGCAAUAAUAUAAGUAUGGUGAUUCGACAACAAUUGUAAACAUUGGUGAAAUGCUUCUUACAUAGUUAUUCUUUUGAGUGUUUAUGAGGUCUGAUCGUGCAGUUUGCAAACAUCAACGGAAAGAUUACAAUCCAAUGCAUUUGUCAUCGUCAACCGUUUGGAAUGUCAAUUUGGCGAUGAGUGAGUUUUUAGCAUGUUUCUUUCUAUUUUAUGAAUUUACAAAUGGCUGCCCCCAUGGUGAUGAAAUGACAUGUGUUCGAGUUUUGAUAUUUCUAGAUAUGUUAUCUUUUUUUACUAUUUAAGCGUAACUUGCCCUCGUCAAUGUCGAUAUUAUUCACUAGUUAUAUAAUUUUCCGCCGAAAUACGUGGAAUAAACAUGAUUCAGAUUUUUGAAAAUAAUGUAUAUUUUAGUGUUAAAAUCGCUUUGUAUUUUGAUUGAUUUUGUGGAUGGUAUGAAACGUUGAUGUACAAAAUUGGUAGCAGUUUGAAGGAAAAACAUCAUUUAAAGCAUAUAUGUAUACAUUUUCAGUGUGGCACUCUUCCUUUAGUCAAAUUUGAGUUCAAGGCUUGGGAUCCCACAUUUUUCAAAAUGAAGCCUCUACAUGAACCUUAACAACGUUAUGAGGUUAAGGCUACACACAACUUAAUUCUUAGUAAAAUGUGCACUUUAACACAAAUAUGGACUUGUAUUUUUGUUCUACCAACUGUGUUUCAAAACUUUGUCAAAAACAUUAA